rnacentral:rRNA from 1 species
GACGAACGCUGGCGGCGUGCCUAAUACAUGCAAGUAGAACGCUGAAGGAGGAGCUUGCUCUUCUGGAUGAGUUGCGAACGGGUGAGUAACGCGUAGGUAACCUGCCUGGUAGCGGGGGAUAACUAUUGGAAACGAUAGCUAAUACCGCAUAACAGUAGAUGUUGCAUGACAUUUGCUUAAAAGGUGCAAUUGCACCACUACCAGAUGGACCUGCGUUGUAUUAGCUAGUUGGUGGGGUAACGGCUCACCAAGGCGACGAUACAUAGCCGACCUGAGAGGGUGAUCGGCCACACUGGGACUGAGACACGGCCCAGACUCCUACGGGAGGCAGCAGUAGGGAAUCUUCGGCAAUGGACGGAAGUCUGACCGAGCAACGCCGCGUGAGUGAAGAAGGUUUUCGGAUCGUAAAGCUCUGUUGUAAGAGAAGAACGAGUGUGAGAGUGGAAAGUUCACACUGUGACGGUAUCUGACCAGAAAGGGACGGCUAACUACGU